UACGAAGGGGGCUAGCGUUGCUCGGAAUCACUGGGCGUAAAGCGCACGUAGGCGGAUUGCUAAGUCAGGGGUGAAAUCCUGGAGCUCAACUCCAGAACUGCCCUUGAUACUGGCGGUCUCGAGUCCGGGAGAGGUGAGUGGAACUGCGAGUGUAGAGGUGAAAUUCGUAGAUAUUCGCAAGAACACCAGUGGCGAAGGCGGCUCACUGGCCCCGGUACUGACGCUGAGGUGCGAAAAGCGUGGGGGAGCAAAACAGGGAU
rnacentral:rRNA from 1 species